rnacentral:rRNA from 1 species
UACGUAGGGGGCAAGCGUUGGUCCGGAUUCAUUGGGCGUAAAGAGCGUGUAGGCGGCCUGGUAGGUCGGUUGUGAAAACUCGAGGCUUAACCUCGAGACGUCGACCGAAACCACCUGGCUAGAGUCCGGAAGAGGAGAGUGGAAUUCCUGGUGUAGCGGUGAAAUGCGCAGAUAUCAGGAAGAACACCCGUGGCGAAGGCGGCUCUCUGGGACGGUACUGACGCUGAGACGCGAAAGCGUGGGGAGCGAACAGG